rnacentral:rRNA from 1 species
AUUGAACGCUAGCGGGAGGCUUUACACAUGCAAGUCGAACGAGGGGAGGACGGGUGAAUAAUAUAUCGGAACGUGCCCAGUAGCGGGGGAUAUAUACUCGAAAGAGUGGCUAAUCCCGCCAACUAGUGGAGCGGCAGAUAUCGGAUUAGCUAGUGGGAGGGGUAAGGGCUCACCAAGGACACGAUCCGUAGCGGGUGUGAGAGGAGGACCAGCCAAACUGGGACUGAGAAACGGCCCAGACUCCUACGGGAGGCAGCAGUGGGGAAUUUUGGACAAUGGGGGAAACCCUGAUCCAGCCAUCCCGCGUGUAUGAGAAGGCCUUCGGGUUGUAAAGUACUUUUGGCAGAGAAGCGGUAUCUGCAGAAUAAGCACCGGCUAACUACGUGCCAGCAGCCGCGGUAAUAC